rnacentral:rRNA from 1 species
GACGAACGCUGGCGGCGUGCUUAACACAUGCAAGUCGAACGGAAAGGCCCUGCUUUUGUGGGGUGCUCGAGUGGCGAACGGGUGAGUAACACGUGAGUAACCUGCCCUUGACUUUGUGAUAACUUCAGGAAACUGGGGCUAAUACCGGAUAUGAGCUCCUGCUGCAUGGUGGGGGUCGGAAAGUUUCGGCGGUUGUGGAUGGACUCGCGGCUUAUCCGCUUGUUGGUGGGGUAGUGGCUUACCAAGGGUUUGACGGGUAGCCGGCCUGAGAGGGUGACCGGCCACAUUGGGACUGAGAUACGGCCCAGACGCCUACGGGAGGCAGCAGUGGGGAAUAUUGCACAAUGGGCGGAAGCCUGAUGCAGAAACGCCGCGUGCGGGAUAACGGCCUUCGGGGUGUAAACCGAUUUCGCCUGUGACGAAGCGUGAGUGACGGUAAUGGGUAAAGAAGCACCGGCUAACUACGUG